GAUGAACGCUGGCUACAGGCUUAACACAUGCAAGUCGAGGGGAAACGACGGGGAAGCUUGCUUCCCCGGGCGUCGACCGGCGCACGGGUGAGUAACGCGUAUCCAACCUGCCUCUGACUGAGGGAUAACCCGUCGAAAGUCGGCCUAAUACCUCAUGGCAUCGUCUGCGGGCAUCCAACGACGAUUAAAGAUUUCAUCGGUCAGGGAUGGGGAUGCGUCUGAUUAGCUUGUUGGCGGGGUAACGGCCCACCAAGGCUACGAUCAGUAGGGGUUCUGAGAGGAAGGUCCCCCACAUUGGAACUGAGGCACGGUCCAAACUCCUACGGGAGGCAGCAGUGAGGAAUAUUGGUCAAUGGGCGGGAGCCUGAACCAGCCAAGUAGCGUGCAGGAUGACGGCCCUAUGGGUUGUAAACUGCUUUUAUGCGGGGAUAAAGUGAGGGACGUGUCCUUCAUUGCAGGUACCGCAUGAAUAAGGACCGGCUAAUUCCGU
rnacentral:rRNA from 1 species